AUCCAACUGACGAGUCUCAAAUAGGACGAAACUCGCGUCCUGGAU
rfam:Schistosoma curassoni strain Dakar, Senegal genome assembly, scaffold: SCTD_scaffold0001550